rnacentral:lncRNA from 1 species
GGGAUCGAACCCGCAACCUCAUGGUUCCUAGUCAGAUUCAUUAACCACUGCGCCACGACGCGAACUCCCUCCUGAAGGCAUUUUAAACUCUUCCUUUUGACUGGACCUUUAUUUGGAUUUUUGCCAUAUUUUUGUCUUAUGAAUAAUACUUAAGCUUAAUUGCCAGGUCAAAAAAAAUGCUCAUUUAAACAUUUAGACAGUUUGUGCCUAUUCUGCCCUAGGCAGAAUAUGAGAGAGACCUAUUCUCUGAAACUUUAGCAGUAAAAGAGACAGUGAAUAUGUUUGUGUAUAUUCUUCAUUUGGUUAACAGAUUUUUUUAAAGGUCCAUACAUAUAAAAUAUUUAUUAAGUGCCUGAUAGGUCAUAAGGCAUUGUUUAGGUAUCCUUAACUAUACAUAUGUAGGAAUAGCUAGAUGCAGAAGUAAACAGAUAUAAUAUGUGACUAUAGAUAUAGAUCCAGAUACAGAUAUCAUCUUAUUUGAUUACUUACUUGAUCAUAUUUUAGAAUCUACUACCAAAAGUGUGGUCUACAAAUUAAUGCUGAUACAUGAACAUAAAUUAAAACAUUUAGAAACUUUUACAGAAAUUUAAUAGAGUAAUCUUAUAUCUCCUGAAUUUAAAUACAAAAAAAUAUGGCUUGUAUAUGUAUUUAUAUUUUUUAAUAAUUCUCUUCAUUACAUUUUAUACAACUGUAUUCAUACCAUUAAAUAGCAACUAAUCUUUUAUAAUAGGUAAUUUGAGAAAUAUUGUUUUAAUAAAUUACAUAUUUUCUUUUCAUAGUUACAAAACUCCACAUGAAAAUAGGUAACACAAAACACACAUAUAAAAGUAAAUCCACAUAGAAAGGAGUAUAAAUAAAUAAUUUUCCAUAGCAAGGGAUAACUUCUAAUAUUUUGAUGAAAGUAAUGUUCAGGAUCCUGGCAGGAAAUACCUAGUAAUAAAAUGAGCUGGUUAUUGACAUAAUUUAACAAAUAUACUACUUAUAAGGAUUUGAGCUUGAAACGGAGAAGCUGAAAAAUUCCUGGGCUAGAACCAGUGUGAAAUCAUCAUAUCUCUGUCCAAAUAUGAGGCAGUAGUUACUGGAAGUCUGUGUAAACUCUGGCUGUUGAGUUUAACCACUUGGCAAGAGUUAAUGGCUUUGGUCAAGGCAUGUAACCAUUAUCAAAUAAUAAUUUCAAAGAGGAAUAGACACUUUCAAUCUUCUACCUUUUCCACCCUGUCAUUGUCUUAUAAACUGGCCCAACCAGUGGGAAGCCAUGUACAAGGAAACCCAUUGAUGUAGUCCCAGCCUGGGACCUGGAAGGAGAGGUGGGAAAGUGGAUCUGAAAGGAGAGUGAAAGAUAUAAUGCCUAAGGUACAUGAUUUGUGCCAUUUGAGAUAGAGUACAAAUUAAGAAGUAUAUUACUAUUACUUGGAAAAUUUAUCAAAAGGUUUUUAUACACUGGAACUAAUUGUUUUUAAAAAUCUGUUACGGUGAUUAUUUCCUUUUUAAGUAAAUAUAUUUCUCAACAUCAUUUCAGUAGCUGCUUAAAUUAUUAUCUUUUAUUAUUACGUCAACUUGUGUUAGCAUUAUUUAAAUCUCAUUUAAUUUAUCAGCUAUAAGUAAAUCCACAAUUGAAAACCCCAUAGCUAUAUCUUUAUCUAUAUCAAGGAUUAUUUCUUGAUUUCCAGAACUAGAGUUUCUCAACUUUUUUGAAAAUGUUUAAGGCUUAUCAUAAAUAUCCAAGGACAAUUGCACCAAUUUAAAAUUCCUCCUGACAAAUACAUGCACAUCUAUCUUUCCAUAUCCAAAUUGCUCACGUCCACAGGUAAGUUACAUAGUCUCAUCCACACAGAUGCACAUAUAUAUGCACUUGCACGUGUCAAUUACCAUCACUGUGUUUUUCUUAGACAUAUAUACUCUCAUACUUCUUAAAUUUAUUUUUAUUUGAUAGCAAAUUGAAACUUUUUCAUACCAUAUUAGCCAUUUGUAUUUCCCUUUCCUGUGAAUGGCCUUGAUAUAGGUUUUAACCAUUUUAAACUUUGAGUACCAAUUUAAAAAAAUCAGGGAGUCCCAUUGUGGCUCAGCAAUUUAUGAGCCUGACUGGUAUCCAUGAGGAUGCAGGUUGGAUCCCUGGCCUCACUCAGUGGGUUAAGGAUCCAGCGGUGCCCUGAACUGUGUUUCAGAUGCAGCUUGGAUCUGGCCUUGCUGUGGCUGUGGCAUAGGCUGGCAGCAACAGCUCCAGUUCCACCCCUAACCAGAGAAUUUCCAUAUGUCACAGGUGUGGCCCUAAAAAGCAAAANAAGCAAAAAAAAAAAAAAAAAAAAAAAAA